rnacentral:rRNA from 1 species
GACGAACGCUGGCGGCGUGCUUAACACAUGCAAGUCGAACGGAAAGGCCCUGCUUUUGUGGGGUGCUCGAGUGGCGAACGGGUGAGUAACACGUGAGUAACCUGCCCUUGACUUUGGGAUAACUUCAGGAAACUGGGGCUAAUACCGGAUAGGAGCUCCUGCUGCAUGGUGGGGGUUGGAAAGUUUCGGCGGUUGGGGAUGGACUCGCGGCUUAUGAGCUUGUUGGUGGGGUAGUGGCUUACCAAGGCUUUGACGGGUAGCCGGCCUGAGAGGGUGACCGGCCACAUUGGGACUGAGAUACGGCCCAGACGCCUACGGGAGGCAGCAGGGGGGAAUAUUGCACAAUGGGCGGAAGCCUGAUGCAGCAACGCCGCGUGCGGGAUGACGGCCUUCGGGUUGUAAACCGCUUUCGCCUGUGACGAAGCGUGAGUGACGGUAAUGGGUAAAGAAGCACCGGCUAACUACGUG